UACGAAGGGUGCAAACGUUGCUCGGAAUUAUUGGGCGUAAAGCGCACGUAGGCGGCUUAGCAAGUCGGAAGUGAAAGCCCUUGGCUCAACCAAGGAAGUGCUUUCGAAACUGCUGAGCUUGAGUAGUUAAGAGGAUCGCGGAAUUCCCGGUGUAGAGGUGAAAUUCGUAGAUAUCGGGAGGAACACCAGUGGCGAAGGCGGCGAUCUGGGAACAGUACUGACGCUGAGGUGCGAAAGCGUGGGGAGCAAACAGG
rnacentral:rRNA from 1 species